CGGGUGAGUAACACGUGAGCAACCUGCCCCUGACUCUGGGAUAAGCGCUGGAAACGGCGUCUAAUACUGGAUACGAGUAGCGACCGCAUGGUCAGUUACUGGAAAGAUUUAUUGGUUGGGGAUGGGCUCGCGGCCUAUCAGCUUGUUGGUGAGGUAAUGGCUCACCAAGGCGUCGACGGGUAGCCGGCCUGAGAGGGUGACCGGCCACACUGGGACUGAGACACGGCCCAGACUCCUACGGGAGGCAGCAGUGGGGAAUAUUGCACAAUGGGCGCAAGCCUGAUGCAGCAACGCCGCGUGAGGGAUGACGGCCUUCGGGUUGUAAACCUCUUUUAGCAGGGAAGAAGCGAAAGUGACGGUACCUGCAGAAAAAGCGCCGGGCUAACUACGUGCCAGCAGCCGCGGUAAUACGUAGGGCGCAAGCGUUAUCCGGAAUUAUUGGGCGUAAAGAGCUCGUAGGCGGUUUGUCGCGUCUGCUGUGAAAUCCGGAGGCUCAACCUCCGGCCUGCAGUGGGUACGGGCAGACUAGAGUGCGGUAGGGGAGAUUGGAAUUCCUGGUGUAGCGGUGGAAUGCGCAGAUAUCAGGAGGAACACCGAUGGCGAAGGCAGAUCUCUGGGCCGUAACUGACGCUGAGGAGCGAAAGGGUGGGGAGCAAACAGGCUUAGAUACCCUGGUAGUCCACCCCGUAAACGUUGGGAACUAGUUGUGGGGUCCAUUCCACGGAUUCCGUGACGCAGCUAACGCAUUAAGUUCCCCGCCUGGGGAGUACGGCCGCAAGGCUAAAACUCAAAGGAAUUGACGGGGACCCGCACAAGCGGCGGAGCAUGCGGAUUAAUUCGAUGCAACGCGAAGAACCUUACCAAGGCUUGACAUAUACGAGAACGGGCCAGAAAUGGUCAACUCUUUGGACACUCGUAAACAGGUGGUGCAUGGGUUGUCGUCAGCUCGUGUCGUGAGAUGUUGGGUUAAGUCCCGCAACGAGCGCAACCCUCGUUCUAUGUUGCCAGCACGUAAUGGUGGGAACUCAUGGGAUACUGCCGGGGUCAACUCGGAGGAAGGUGGGGAUGACGUCAAAUCAUCAUGCCCCUUAUGUCUUGGGCUUCACGCAUGCUACAAUGGCCGGUACAAAGGGCUGCAAUACCGCGAGGUGGAGCGAAUCCCAAAAAGCCGGUCCCAGUUCGGAUUGAGGUCUGCAACUCGACCUCAUGAAGUCGGAGUCGCUAGUAAUCGCAGAUCAGCAACUUUGCGGUGAAUACGUUCCCGGGUCUUGUACACACCGCCCGUCAAGUCAUGA
rnacentral:rRNA from 1 species